GUCGAGCGGACAGAUGGGAGCUUGCUCCCUUAUGUCAGCGGCGGACGGGUGAGUAACACGUGGGUAACCUGCCUGUAAGACUGGGAUAACUCCGGGAAACCGGGGCUAAUACCGGAUGCUUGAUUGAACCGCAUGGUUCAAUUAUAAAAGGUGGCUUUUAGCUACCACUUACAGAUGGACCCGCGGCGCAUUAGCUAGUUGGUGAGGUAACGGCUCACCAAGGCAACGAUGCGUAGCCGACCUGAGAGGGUGAUCGGCCACACUGGGACUGAGACACGGCCCAGACUCCUACGGGAGGCAGCAGUAGGGAAUCUUCCGCAAUGGACGAAAGUCUGACGGAGCAACGCCGCGUGAGUGAUGAAGGUUUUCGGAUCGUAAAACUCUGUUGUUAGGGAAGAACAAGUACCGUUCGAAUAGGGCGGUACCUUGACGGUACCUAACCAGAAAGCCACGGCUAACUACGUGCCAGCAGCCGCGGUAAUACGUAGGUGGCAAGCGUUGUCCGGAAUUAUUGGGCGUAAAGCGCGCGCAGGCGGUUUCUUAAGUCUGAUGUGAAAGCCCCCGGCUCAACCGGGGAGGGUCAUUGGAAACUGGGGAACUUGAGUGCAGAAGAGGAGAGUGGAAUUCCACGUGUAGCGGUGAAAUGCGUAGAGAUGUGGAGGAACACCAGUGGCGAAGGCGACUCUCUGGUCUGUAACUGACGCUGAGGCGCGAAAGCGUGGGGAGCGAACAGGAUUAGAUACCCUGGUAGUCCACGCCGUAAACGAUGAGUGCUAAGUGUUAGAGGGUUUCCGCCCUUUAGUGCUGCAGCAAACGCAUAAGCAC
rnacentral:rRNA from 1 species